GGACUACUGGGGUAUCUAAUCCCGUUCGCUCCCCUGGCUUUCGCGCCUCAGCGUCAGAUGAGAUCCAGCGUGUCGCUUUCGCCACCGGAGUUCCUUCCGAUAUCAACGCAUUUCACCGCUCCACCGGAAGUUCCACACGCCCCUACCUCCCUCCAGACGGCCAGUAUCGAAGGCUAUUUUCCGGUUGAGCCGAAAGAUUUCACCCCCGACUUGGUCGUCCGCCUACGCGCCCUUUAAGCCCAGUGAUUCCGAACAACGUUCGCACGGUUCGUCUUACCGCGGCUGCUGGCAC
rnacentral:rRNA from 3 species